rnacentral:lncRNA from 1 species
AAUAAAUAAAAUAAAAGUUUAAUCCUAACAACACAAAACAUUCCAGGAAUGUAGGUACUACCGUUCUAUUCCGUGAACAUCUAUCUGAUUAAAUUAUGGGUGGAAAGUUACCACAAGAUUCUAUGAACAUAGUACAAUGUCUUCCUGGAGGGGUAAAAUUUUCCAUUACAAGAUUUUAAGAGAGGCCAUUUAUUGUACUGUUCAAUUUGCGUUCAUUUUCAAAUUUGCCGCGCGAGUAUCUAUGUAGCGUCUCGUGGUCAUUGGUCAUCACAUUUCAUUUUCAUAACAUAACCGAUAACCUAAAAAUUUAGUAAAAAAGUAAAAAUUUUGAUUGGAAAAAAAUGCAUCGAUAAGGGGAUGUGGGAAAUGGAAAUUAGUGGCUUUUUUGCUGUACUGUCUGCUAGUUUUUGCUCUGGGCACUGGCUAGAUCUCUUGUUUAAACAAUUUUAAUCAGCUGAAAGUGGCCUACAAAAAAAAAACCAAGAAGGAAAUGUAUAGCCUUGUGGCUAUGAAAGGCAAAAGAGAGAUAUAAAAAGUGUAUUGGCUAGUUGGAAGAAAGUCCACAUUGUCCAUGCAUAAUAAGUUAUUACAUUAUCAACAAAUAUCAAGAAGAUAGCAGGGUCACGAGCAUCAACUUCAUGAGUUCAAGAAUAUCGAGGAAAUCCAGCUCCUCGAUACUACUGGGCAAACUAGAAGAUUGAAGAGGACAAAUCCUUUUGAACUAGUUUGAGUGAUAGGUGAUAGUGAAAAACGGAGCAUAGUGCUUGUGUGCUGUGCCUGUGUAUAUUAGAAUAGUGCACGAUCUUGUUAGAUUAGAUAAGAGAUGCUAUGGGGUAAGCUCUUCAUUUUAAGAAACAGUAGUAAUUUAGGCUAAAUUAAAAUUGCUCAUUGGUCAGUUAUGACCAGAUUGUUUUUUUAUGUUUGGCAAAAAGGACUUAAGUCAGAAUUGCACAUUGAUAAUGUUUUGAUGAUUUCUGGACCAGAAAAAAACUGUUGUAGAUGUAAACUGUAUGUACAGUAGAAUCUACUACAGUACUGUAGAAAUCAUCAAAACAUUAUCGAUGUGCAAUUCUGACUUAAGCCCUUUUUCCCAAACAUCAGAGAAUUGUAAUGUACAAUAAUUCUCCUAUCUGCUUUUUCAUGAAUUUUGUAGGAGACGAAAAACCAUUUUUAGGAUCAUCUACUUUCACAUGUUUUGUAGUAAAUAGAUAGUUGAAUUUACUACAAAACAUGUCAAAAAAUAUAUGAAAACAGGAGGUGACUAUAAAAAAAGUUUUUAGUCUCUCUUACAAAACUCAUGAAAAAACAAAUCGGAGGUAUGUCACAUCAGUGACUAAGAAUGUCUAAAAAAUAUACUUUGAUGUCCCAAGAACCAAAUAUAACCUACAGUCCAUCUAAUUUACUUACUGUUGCACGUCAUUAUCUACGCCAGAGAUCUAAGUUGACAUAGUUGCCAAAGUAUAAAAAGAUCCUGAAUCCAUUUUAAAUCAAAUAUGUCACAUAAUUAUUGUAAACGUGGAUUAUACAACAAAACAAAUUAAUAUUCAAUGUAAAUAAGUAAAAACUUAAGAAAUAGAGAACAAGAAUUAAGUUAUAAUCUUUUAAGAUUUGCAGUGCAAGAGUUUUUGCACUGCAUUGUUAAUAAUUAAAAAACGGCUCCGAACUCUUGGCAAAAAGCCGGUAGGUUUCUUUGUAUAAGUAUGUCUACAAUAACAACUACAAAAGUUGUCAGAUACCUCGAUUAUUCCAAGUCGUUAUAAAAUUAGGUGAAAUUUAUAUUUUUAUAGUAGAGGAUCUUUUUAUAGUAAAGUAAAUAAUAAAAACAGUAAAUAUAAUAAAUAAAACAGAUACUUAUAGUAAAGAAUAUAAACAAAUAUGAAGUGUCAUCACCGUAACUGUCAAAUAAAUGUUACCAAUUUAUUCUAAAAUGUCACCUUCGUUCGAUUACAGUUACAGUGUGAUCCGAACAAAUCUGCUUCAUAAAAACGCUUUAUAAUCCAUUUAUACAAAUUAAAUGAAACAUAUUAUUGUGUAUUUCUUUAGGUUAACAUUAAUAGAAAUCUUCAAAUAUUAUUUCUACGCGUAUAUAAUAAAAUAUGUCUAGUGGCUGUAAUUCCAGUGUACUCGGCAAAGUGAUUCUAAAAAAGAACACACCUACCGCCUAAAUAUUUCGUGUUGGUAUCAUGCAACCUCACAGGCUACGACGCGGAUGACGCGCAACAGUUAGUAAAUUAGACGAAGUAUGUAGAUAUAUACAGGGUGUAACAAAAAUACAGGUCAUAAAUUUAAUCACAUAUUCUGGGACCAAAAAUAGUUUGAUUGGACCUAACUUACCUUAGUACAAAUGUGCACACAAGAAAAGUUACAGCCCUUUGAAGUUAUAUAUAUAUAUAUAUAAUAGCACCAAGGGUCUUAGAGGCCCAUGGCUUGAAAAGUUUGUUUUUUUUCUUCAUUUUCAUGUUUCUUUAUGUACUGAGAUCUUCUCUGGCUUGAUAUGUGAUUUUUCUCCAUUCCUUCCUGUUAUUCAUUUUUCUUUUCUGACCCUGUAGCACCAUUCUUUCCAAAUCUUUUUCGACCUCUUGCUUCCAUCUAUUUUUCGGCCUUCCUCUUCUCUUUCUUGAAGCUGUAGUGUAGUUUAGUACCAUUUUUGGAGUCCUCGUGUUUGGCAUCCUUUCAAUGUGACCUCGCCAUCUAAGUCUCUGUGCCUUUAUCAUUCAUUUGAAGUUACAAGAUGAAGUGAUUUUUUCCAAUAUAUCGAAAAGUAUUAGAGAUUUUUUAUUGAAAAUGGACAUGUGGCAUUAUUAUGGCAGCA